rnacentral:rRNA from 1 species
UCGAAACCUGCCCAGCAGAACGACCCGCGAACGCGUCACCGAGCGCGGGGACGGUAGCGUCGAGAGGCGCGGCCUCCCCGUUCCGCCUGGGAUGUCAAAACCCCGGGAGGAAACAACACAAGACCCGGCGUUCGAUGCGCCAAGGAAACGUAAUACGGAAUACGCGAACCCCGCGCAGGGGAACGCAUCCGGAACUUUUGAACGACUCUCGGCAACGGAUAUCUCGGCUCUCGCAUCGAUGAAGAACGUAGCGAAAUGCGAUACUUGGUGUGAAUUGCAGAAUCCCGUGAACCAUCGAGUCUUUGAACGCAAGUUGCGCCCUAAGCCGUCAGGCCGAGGGCACGCCUGCCUGGGCGUCACGCACAAGAGUCGCACCCCACGCCUUCUCGGCGUUCGGAGCGGAAGAUGGCCCCCCGUGCCAUAGCGCGCGGUCGGCCCAAACAAAGGCUUUGCGGCGCGCAGCGUCACGAUCUGUGGUGGUCGACAGAACCCUGCCGAAACCAGAUCUCGCGGCCUGCGACGCCGACGCCAUCGGAACCCAAUAGGGCCGUCUACACGGCAUCCACUCUGCGACCCCAGGUCAGGCGGGAGCACCCGCUGAAUUUAAGCAUAUC